rnacentral:rRNA from 1 species
UAGGGAAUCUUCCGCAAUGGGCGAAAGCUUGACGGAGCAACGCCGCGUGAGUGAUGAAGGUCUUCGGAUCGUAAAACUCUGUUAUUAGGGAAGAACAAAUGUGUAAGUAACUAUGCACGUCUUGACGGUACCUAAUCAGAAAGCCACGGCUAACUACGUGCCAGCAGCCGCGGUAAUACGUAGGUGGCAAGCGUUAUCCGGAAUUAUUGGGCGUAAAGCGCGCGUAGGCGGUUUUUUAAGUCUGAUGUGAAAGCCCACGGCUCAACCGUGGAGGGUCAUUGGAAACUGGAAAACUUGAGUGCUGAAGAGGAAAGUGGAAUUCCAUGUGUAGCAGUGAAAUGCGCAGAGAUAUGGAGGAACACCAGUGGCGAAGGCGACUUUCUGGUCUGUAACUGACGCUGAUGUGCGAAAGCGUGGGGAUCAAACAGG